rnacentral:tRNA from 1 species
GGAUAUCGCCAAAUGGUAAGGCACUGGAUUCUGAUUCCAGCAUUUGUAGGUUCGAAUCCUGCUAUC